UCUUUCCAAUGUCUAUAUGGCUGGCCUGA
rnacentral:piRNA from 1 species